GUUACCAAUUAUAGCCCCAUAGUGCAAUUCGGCAUAUGGUUCUUCUCCAGUAAGAAGUUCCCACAGUACAAUUCCAAAGGAGAAUACGUCAACCUACAAACACGACCAGCAAAGUACGCGUCAACAAGCAGGGAUAAAGAGAGACAAGACUGCUGCUUCCAUUGAGAAGUUCUGGUGCCAUCCAGGGAAGAGUUCCUCGUACACCGCCUGAGAUAAGUGUUUGACAUUUCACUUUGGAUAGCCCCAAAUCGCCAACCUAAAACAAGGAGAAAUUUCCAGUCGGUACCAAAGUGAAACAGAUGAUAAUAUGGCCGGGAGCUUCUAAUAUUCUCAGUGGUGCUUUCGUGUUUGAAGGUGUUGUUAUGCACAAGGUAAGAGAUAACCUAAAAGCAACCAUGAGUAUGGAUUCUGAGGCGGGCAAGAACUGAAAGAUAGUUGUCACACGAACAACAAUAAAAAUGAUAACACUAAGGAUGAUAAUGAUGAUAAUAAUGCUACAAUGAUGAUGAUAUGACUAAUGCCAUAGAUGGUACCGAUGAAUUCAGUAUUGUCAAAGGCCCACUUAAGCCAUGAAGCGAGGCCCAAAACAUGUUGAGCGCUUCGCCUCGCUUAAUGUGUGCUUUAGUGUCAUCAUCAAGUUUCUAGAGCAUACUUUUCCUUCCCAAUUAACAUUCCUAAAGGGACUGCACAAAACAAUUCAAAUUUCACUUUAUCAUAAAAAUUUCAAUUGCGUUGCCCGUAUAUUUAUUAUUCGGCUUAUAAAUAUUAGUCUUGACCUAAACAUAUAGCUUUGUAAUUUUUCUCCCUUAAUGCCUUUCUUCACUAAAGCCCACAUUUUAUUUUUAUUAAAACCCACGUUUUAUUUG